rnacentral:lncRNA from 1 species
CUUUUUUUUUUCAUUUAUUUUUUUUCCUUUCUUUCAUUUAUACUUACAUACAUCUACAAGUCAAACAUGGGUUUAUUCAGCUGAUGAGAUAAAAUGUACAAGGACAUUUCUAUACAUGGCUAAGUACAUAUUGGUAUCAGAACCCACAUGUCCAAAUGGCAUUGGACAACAGAGAGCCCUGCAUGAAUGGGCAUUCAGGAAUUAAAAAUUAACAUCACUAAGAAACUCUUGGGGCACAUGGGUGGCUCAGUGGUUGAGCAUCUGCCUUUGGCUCAGGUCUUGAUCCCAGGGUCCUGGGAUCGAGUACCAUAUCGGGCUCCAAACAGGGAGCCUGCUUCUCCCUCUGCCUAUGUCUCUGCCUCUCUCUUUCAUGAAUAAAUAAAUAAAAUCUUUAAAAAAAGGAACUUUCUUUAACAACAACAAAGUGGUGGAUUAAGACAUCAGCGAUUUAAACCUUAACAGGAAUGAUUUUAAGUAACCAAUAACACUAAUCCUCGGCAUUCUGACUUGCAGCUUUUAAGACAUGGAAGUUAAGAACAAAGAAGAGAGGGUUAUUUCAGAAUCUAAAACACUAUGGCAACAUUGCUUCAAUAGUUCAAGAAAUGUAUACUAAGCCCCUAUUAUGUGAUCAUGGAUUGAGAAUAUAUCCUCUCCUUCGAUAGAAUUUACAGGUGAGAGAAGCAGUAGGCACCUGGGAGUUUUGCUUCCUGGGGGGUGGGGAGGGUGGGGUGUGGAAUUCAGGAAGGAGAGCCACAAACUAAGACUUGCUCAGGGACUCCAGACUCAUUUUGUUUCUAUUUUGUUCCUUUUCUCAUGAAAACUAUGUUUGUUCUUAUACUCAAAAAAUUAGUUACCCCAUGGGUGUAAUAAUUAAAUAUUACUAAUCUUAUAUAUCAUACAUUAUAUAUAAUGAUAAAUAAUAUAAAUAAAGCACACAUAACAUACACGUUAUAUAAAUGAUCUUUUUAUAAUAUACUAAACUAUGAAUUAAUUUCUAAUAAUUAUCCUGAGCUUAUUACCUUCCCUUCUGUUUUCAAAGCAUACCAUGUUUUAUGGACCUUGACAGGCAUCUUCUAAGAUGUGAAAGUGUUUACCUUAUCAAUAAUCUCCGUUCUACUGGAAAGGCUCCAGAUUGGAUUCUUUCUCUACUGACCAUGGAUAAUUCCUAUAACUUUAAAUUCCAAUAAAUGGAUUAACAUCCUAAAUUGUAGCUUUGUCUUCUAAGUGGAAUGCAUAAACAUUUCAGAUUUCAGUUAAAUGACAUUUCCUAUAAUUAUAAAUAGUUCUGUAUAGCAUCAGCACCGGUGCUUGAGCGUAUCUCUACAAUUAUUGUCCAAAAUCAAGGCGUAUCCUCUUGCAUGAGUAAUGCAUGCUGCUAUUUUAAGCAAAAGCUUCAUGGAAGAACUUCAACUAUGCAUGGUAUGAAUGCUCAUAAUUAUGUUUUAAUGUACUAACUUUGAAAGAUUACUUUCAUCCAAACAAAUAUGAAACUACAAAAUAUAAUUUGUUAUGAAAUUCAUCUGGAGUCUUUCUGAAACUUUCGAAAUCAGUAGAAGCCAAAGGAUAGGAGUCCUGAGAAGGGUCAUUUCAAAAUUUUGGACAUUAUAACCUCCUGAAUGAUGCUCUUUGGGAGAAAUUAUGUUGCUAGAACAUCAUCAUGUACUUCUCACCUCCUAUCCCAUUAUGUUUUAUCCCAAUCUAGCUACCUUCCAGCUGGUAACCUUGGGUAAAUUACUUUUUUCCAUGCUUGAAUUUUCUCAUCAGUAACAUGAGGAUGAUGAAAUUAUGUGGAUUAAAUGAGUUAAUAUAUACAGAAAGCAUUUAGAGAGUACCUAGCAUUUUGUAAACAUUAUCUAAGUUCUCCACACUUGGGUGACUGCAAAAUUAAACAUCCAGGCUAGAUGGCAUUAAUAGUAUUAGAAAAACAGACCCUCUCCUAGAAAAAGAAGUGUAUAACAUUAAUAUAUAAUCAUCAUGCCCUGAGCACAACCCACAUGGGAAAUGUUACACUGUUAAGAGGUUGUUAAUAACAUCUAGAAAUUCUGGGACUUAAAUAAACAUGGCUUUUUUUGGGGGGGAAGUGCAAUUUGGGAAAGCAUAUUGAAAACUUUACAAAUGUAUACACCUUUACCCAUAGCCAUCCACUAUGGGAAAAUCAUUCUAAGGAUUAUGAGCAAAAAUAAAUUAGAAAUAAUUGAGGAUAUAUACAAAAAAUACCAAAAAUUAUGGUAUUUGUCAUAUCACAGUAUCCCUUAUAGAGCAAAAAAAAAAAAAAAAGAAAGAGAGAAAAUCAUAUUCAACAACAGCCAAUGGGUUACAUAAAUUAUGGUGUAUAAAUAAGAUGAAUGGAACAUUAUACAGUUAUUCAAAAGUGAUAUUUUAGAAGGCUAUUUAUUAAAUGAGACUAUCAGCUAAAUAUUAAGUGAGAGUCCUAAAUCAACAUAUAUUAUGAUUCCAUUUUUGUUAAAAUUACCUCUCUGUGUACGUACAUAUAUAUGUCUGAAUACAUACAGAGAAAAAGUCUAGGAGCAAAUACCACAAUGUGAAUCGUUUUUAUCUCUGCAUGGUUGGCUUGUCUGAAUUUUUAAACUUUUCUAUUGUGCUAUUACUAACAUGGAACAUAAAUUAUUUAUUUAAACUUUGUGUUUUUCCCCACUCCCACCCAAGGAAAAGAAAAACCUGAGGUGGCAAGUUUUUAAUGACUAUAGCCGCUCCAAUGUCUCAGGCUUGGAGAUUCUUGCUGCCCCAUGUCCUGGUCAAAAGAUCUAGCCUACAGCCAAUCUUCAUGGUGCAACUUAGCUUUGCUCACCAGCAGGUAAGUAACUGGCUAGUAAGUAGUAGCCCCAGCAAAAAAGGAUUUUGAUGAGCUAACUGCUCCCAGCCAUAAGUCAAACCAUUAGAGUGGGAAUCAAAAGUUCAGACUGGACUGUCAGUCACUUUGCUGAUUAGACAUCAGAGCAAGCCUCUGCUGGCCCCGGUGUAAGCCCUCAUUGCCAAGUGCAGCUUAACUAUUCCUUGCCUUAGUUAUUUGGAUAAUUCUCUCCUUUUGCCUAAAAGCAUUCUUACACACUUGGAAGACAUGGCCAAGUUCAAAUGCCUGGAAAGAAGCCAGUAAGUUUAAGUGAUGAAGGAAAUGGAAAAUAAUUUCUCUGGAUAUAAAGUUAGGAACAUUAGCAUGCUUCAAGAUUGAUUGCGGACCGUGGCAGGUUUCUGAAGCCUCAUGGAUUGUUACUACAGUAGGAAGUGAGUUUAAAAUACAGUAAAGCAAAACAAUCACCUUUCAGUAUCUGCCUCUACAGACUUUUUUUACAUUCACAAUUGAAAAAAAUCUUGUGAACCCUGGCACAAUAUCAUUAAUAGAUAAUGGUUGGAAGGUUUUGUCAGAAAGGUGUUUCCAUUUAUAUGUGUAUAUUUUAAAGGUAAUUUUAUUAUAUCUAGGGACCAAUUUUUAAGUGCCACAAUAGAAAUUAGUGUGCAAGUGGGAAUUACUUAAAAGAAAUUUGCUUUGAAGUAACCUGAGCUCUACUCCAUCUAUAGUGUUAGGUAUGUAAUUACCUGUAAAGCCAAGACUUUUUUUUCCUA